rnacentral:pre_miRNA from 1 species
AGUAUAAUUCCUGGGCCAUAUGGUAAUUACAUAUUUAGUUUUAUUAAAAAUCUCUGAACUGUUUUCCAGAGUGGUUGUACCAUUUUAUAUUCAUACCAGUAGU